rnacentral:rRNA from 1 species
GACGAACGCUGGCGGCGUGCCUAAUACAUGCAAGUCGAGCGCAGGAAACUGACGGAACUCUUCGGAGGGAAGGCAGUGGAAUGAGCGGCGGACGGGUGAGUAACACGUAAGGAACCUGCCUCAAGGAUUGGGAUAACUCCGAGAAAUCGGAGCUAAUACCGGAUAGUUCAACGGACCGCAUGGUCCGCUGAUGAAAGGCGCUCCGGCGUCACCUUGAGAUGGCCUUGCGGUGCAUUAGCUAGUUGGUGGGGCAACGGCCCACCAAGGCGACGAUGCAUAGCCGCCCUGGGAGGGUGAUCGGCCACACUGGGACUGAGACACGGCCCAGACUCCUACGGGAGGCAGCAGUAGGGAAUCUUCCACAAUGGACGAAAGUCUGAUGGAGCAACGCCGCGUGAGUGAUGAAGGUUUUCGGAUCGUAAAACUCUGUUGUAAGGGAAGAACACGUACGAGAGGGAAUGCUCGUACCUUGACGGUACCUUACGAGAAAGCCACGGCUAACUACGUGCCAGCCGCCGCAGUAAGAC